UGCCAGCCGCCGCGGUAAUACGGAGGGGGUUAGCGUUGUUCGGAAUCACUGGGCGUAAAGCGUAUGUAGGCGGAUCUAAAAGUUAGAUGUGAAAUCCCUGGGCUCAACCCAGGAACUGCAUUUAAAACUAGAGAUCUAGAAUUUGGUAAAGGUUAGUAGAAUUUCCAGUGUAGAGGUGAAAUUCGUAGAUAUUGGAAAGAAUACCAGAAGCGAAGGCGACUAACUAGGCCAUUUUUGACGCUGAGAUACGAAAGCGUGGGUAGCAAACAGGAUUAGAUA
rnacentral:rRNA from 1 species